rnacentral:rRNA from 1 species
ACGGAAGGCAGCAGUGAGGAAUAUUGGUCAAUGGGCGAGAGCUUGAACCAGCCAAGUCGCGUGCGGGACGAAGGCCCUACGGGUCGUAAACCGCUUUUAUACGGGAAUAAAGUGCGCCACGCGUGGCGUUUUGCAGGUACCGUAGGAAUAAGGAUCGGCUAACUCCGUGCCAGCAGCCGCGGUAAUACGGAGGAUGCGAGCGUUAUCCGGAUUUAUUGGGUUUAAAGGGUGCGUAGGCGGAUGAUUAAGUCUGUGGUGAAAGCGUGCGGCUCAACCGUACCGAGCCAUGGAAACUGGUUGUCUUGAGUGUAAACGAGGUAGGCGGAAUGUGACAUGUAGCGGUGAAAUGCUUAGAUAUGUCACAGAACUCCGAUUGCGAAGGCAGCUUACCAGCAUACAACUGACGCUGAGGCACGAAAGCGUGGGUAUCAAACAGGAUUAGAUACCCUGGUA